rnacentral:rRNA from 1 species
GUGCUUAACACAUGCAAGUCGAACGGGGAUAUCCGAGCGGAAGGCUUCGGCCGGAAGGUUGGAUAUUCGAGUGGCGGACGGGUGAGUAACGCGUGAGCAAUCUGUCCCAGACAGGGGGAUAACACUUGGAAACAGGUGCUAAUACCGCAUGAGACCACAGUAUCGCAUGAUACAGGGGUAAAAGGAGCGAUCCGGUUUGGGGUGAGCUCGCGUCCGAUUAGAUAGUUGGUGAGGUAACGGCCCACCAAGUCGACGAUCGGUAGCCGACCUGAGAGGGUGAUCGGCCACAUUGGAACUGAGAGACGGUCCAAACUCCUACGGGAGGCAGCAGUGGGGAAUAUUGGGCAAUGGGCGAAAGCCUGACCCAGCAACGCCGCGUGAGUGAAGAAGGCCUUCGGGUUGUAAAGCUCUGUUAUAGGGGACGAAGGAAGUGACGGUACCCUAUAAGGAAGCCCCGGCUAACUACGUGCCAGCAGCCGCGGUAAUACGUAGGGGGCGAGCGUUGUCCGGAAUGACUGGGCGUAAAGGGCGUGUANGCGGCCGAUUAA